rnacentral:rRNA from 1 species
CUAGAGUACGAUAGAGGGAGGUAGAAUUCAUAGUGUAGCGGUGGAAUGCGUAGAUAUUAUGAAGAAUACCAGUGGCGAAGGCGGCCUCCUGGAUCUGUACUGACACUGAGGUGCGAAAGCGUGGGUAGCGAACAGGAUUAGAUACCCUGGUAGUCCACGCCGUAAACGAUGACAACUAGCUGUUAGGAGACUAUGUCUUUUAGUGGCGCAGCUAACGUUUUAAGUUGUCCGCCUGGGGAGUACGGCCGCAAGGCUAAAACUCAAAUGAAUUGACGGGGACCCGCACAAGCAGUGGAUCAUGUGGUUUAAUUCGAUGCAACGCGAAAAACCUUACCUACUCUUGACAUACUUGGAAGCUCUUGUAAUGAGAGUGUGCUUUUAAGAACCAAGAUACAGGUGCUGCAUGGCUGUCGUCAGCUCGUGUCGUGAGAUGUUCCGUUAAGUCGGAUAACGAGCGCAACCCUUACCCUUAUUUGCCAGCGAUUCGGUCGGGAACUAUAAGGGGACUGCCGGUGAUAAACCGGAGGAAGGUGAGGACGACGUCAAGUCAUCAUGGCCCUUACGAGUAGGGCUACACACGUGAUACAAUGGGAGAGACAGACGGACGCUAAGCCGCGAGGUGGUGCUAAUCCUAGAAACUCUCUCGUAGUCCGGAUUGGAGUCUGCAACUCGACUCCAUGAAGUUGGAAUUGCUAGUAAUCGCGGAUCAGCAUGCCGCGGUGAAUACGUUCUCGGGUCUUGUACACACCGCCCGUCACACCAUGGAAGUGGAUUGCACCAGAAGUAGAUAGUCUAACCUUAGGGAAGGCGUUUACCACGGUGUGCUUCAUGACUGGGGUGAAGUCGUAACAA